GCAUGUGGCGGGACAGCCUGAAGGCAGCCCUGCCCGCGUGAGUGAAGAAGGCCUUCGGGUUGUAAAGCUCUUUCGUCGGGGAGGAAGGCGAUGGGGAGUAUCUGCCGGUACCUUGACGUUACCCAACCAAAAAGCCCCGGCUAACUCCGUGCCAGCAGCCGCGGUAAUACGGAGGGGGCAAGCGUUGAUCGGAAUUACUGGGCGUAAAGCGCACGCAGGCGGUCUGUUAAGUCUGAUGUGAAAUCCCCGGGCUCAACCUGGGAACUGCAUUGGAAACUGGGGGGCUUGAGUCUUGAAGAGGGGGGUAGAAUUCCACGUGUAGCGGUGAAAUGCGUAGAGAUCUGGAGGAAUACCGGUGGCGAAGGCGGCCCCCUGGACUAAGACUGACGCUCAGGUGCGAAAGCGUGGGGAGCAAACAGGAUUAGAUACCCUGGUAGUCCACGCCGUAAACGAUGUCUGCUUGGAGGUUGUUCCCUUGAGGAGUGGCUUCCUGAGCUAACGCGUUUAGUCGACCGCCUGGGGAGUACGGGCCGCAGGUUUAAACUCAAAUGAAUUGGCCGGGGA
rnacentral:rRNA from 1 species